UACAGUCUAGCCUGCCCGCUGACGGAGAGUUUAAGGGCCGCGGUAUAUUGACCAUGCGAAGGUAGCAUAAUGAUUUCUUCUUUAAUUGAGGACUAGUAUGAAUGGUUGAACAAGAAACUAACUGUCUCUGAUAUAAAUUUUGAAUUUAACAUUUAAGUGAAAAGGCUUAAAUUGACUAGGGGGACGAUAAGACCCAAUAAAUCUUUAUACUUAUACUUUUAGUGUUGGAAAUUAGAUUAUAAUACUUAGGGUUGCCGGGGGCAAUAUUUUGUUGGGGCGACAGGAGUAUAAAAGCAACUGCUUUAAAUGUGGAAAUUAAUGAUAUUUAUUGUGUAGCUUAAGUGAUCCUUCAGCGAGGAUAAUAGAAUAAGUUACUUCAGGGAUAACAGCGUAAUCUCUUUUGAGAGUUCAUAUCGAAAAAGAGGGUUGCGACCUCGAUGUUGAAUUAAAGAUCCUUUGCGGUGCAGAAGUUGUUGAAGGAGGUCUGUUGCACCUUUGAAUCUUUACAUGAUUUCAGACCGGCGUAAGCCAGGUCGGUUUCUAUCUCUUAGUGAAUUAAAAAUUCUCUUAGUUCGAAAGGACUGGAGAGUUGGAAUAAUUUCAUAGGUUUGGAAUAUUACUUUGGCAGAAUGUAUGUAUUAAAUUUAGGAUCUAACUAAAUAAAAUUUAAGAUCUAUAGGUAAUAGGCAUUUGGUAGUGAGAAGAUGACUAUAAAGUUUGUUGGUGAUAUUCGUGGUUAUAGUAAUCAAUUAUUUGUUUGUUAUUAUUUGUGUCUUAGUUGGAGUAGCCUUUGUAACUUUGUUGGAGCG
rnacentral:rRNA from 1 species